rnacentral:tRNA from 1 species
AGCCUUGGCACACCUU